rnacentral:rRNA from 1 species
GAUGAACGCUGGCGGCGUGCCUAAUACAUGCAAGUCGAGCGAACAGACGAGGAGCUUGCUCCUCUGACGUUAGCGGCGGACGGGUGAGUAACACGUGGAUAACCUACCUAUAAGACUGGGAUAACUUCGGGAAACCGGAGCUAAUACCGGAUAAUAUAUUGAACCGCAUGGUUCAAUAGUGAAAGACGGUUUUGCUGUCACUUAUAGAUGGAUCCGCGCCGCAUUAGCUAGUUGGUAAGGUAACGGCUUACCAAGGCAACGAUGCGUAGCCGACCUGAGAGGGGGAGAGGCAACAGGGGAAGGGAGCAAGGGACAGGCGUCAAAGGGGAGGAAGAAGGAGGAAAGAUGCGAAAGAGGGAGAAAGCGGGAGGGAGAAAGGAGGGGGGAGGAAAGAAGGUGUUGGAAUCGAAAAACUUGGUAAUGGGGAAAAAAAAAAGGUGAAAGAAAAAAGGAGGGUCUGGAGGGAAAAAAAAAAAAAGACAAGGGAAAAAAGAGUG